rnacentral:rRNA from 1 species
GGAGGAUGCAAGUGUUAUCCGGAAUUACUGGGCGUAAAGCGUCUGUAGGUGGUUUAAUAAGUCAACUGUUAAAUCUUGAGGCUUAACUUCAAAACAGCAGUCGAAACUAUUAGACUAGAGUAUAGUAGGGGUAAAGGGAAUUUCCAGUGGAGCGGUGAAAUGCGUAGAUAUUGGAAAGAACACCGAUGGCGAAAGCACUUUACUGGGCUAUUACUAACACUCAGAGACGAAAGCUAGGGUAGCAAAUGGGAUUAGAUACCCCAGUAGUCCUAGCUGUAAACAGUGGAUACUAGAUGUUGAACAGAUCGACCUGUGCAGUAUUAAAGCUAACGCGUUAAGUAUCCCGCCUGGGAAGUAUGCUCGCAAGAGUG